rnacentral:tRNA from 1 species
GCCUCUAUAGCUCAGUGGUUAGAGCGCUUGCCUCGUAAGCAAGAGGUCCCGGGUUCGAAUCCCGGUAGAGGCU